ACCAACAGGGAUUACCUUAGUAACGGCGAGUGAAGCGGUAAUAGCUCAAAUUUGAAAUCUGGCUCUUCGAGUCCGAGUUGUAAUUUGUAGAGGAUGUUUCGGGUGCGCCCGCAGUUUAAGUUCCUUGGAACAGGACGUCAUAGAGGGUGAGAAUCCCGUCUUGAACUGUACGGCAAGUCCAUGUGAAACUCCUUCGACGAGUCGAGUUGUUUGGGAAUGCAGCUCAAAAUGGGAGGUAAAUUUCUUCUAAAGCUAAAUAUUGGCCAGAGACCGAUAGCGCACAAGUAGAGUGAUCGAAAGAUGAAAAGCACUUUGAAAAGAGAGUUAAACAGUAUGUGAAAUUGUUGAAAGGGAAGCGUUUGCAACCAGACUUGUUUCUAGCAGUUCUACCGCAGUUCUCUGUGGCCUAUUCUGCUAGUCCAGGCCAGCAUCAGUUUGGGUGGCUCGUUAAAGGCCUUGGGAAUGUAUCUACGCCUUCGGGUGUAGACUUAUAGCCCUCGGUGUAAUAGGGUCUACCUGGACUGAGGUACGCGCUUUAUUGCUCGGAUGCUGGCGUAAUGGUUGUAAACGACCCGUCUUGAAACACGGACCAAGGAGUCUAACAUCUAUGCGAGUGUUAGGGUGUCAAACCCUUACGCGUAAUGAAAGUGAACGGAGGUAGGAACCCGCAAGGGUGCACUAUCGACCGAUCCUGAUGUCUUCGGAUGGAUUUGAGUAAGAGCAUAGCUGUUGGGACCCGAAAGAUGGUGAACUAUGCCUGAAUAGGGUGAAGCCAGAGGAAACUCUGGUGGAGGCUCGCAGCGGUUCUGACGUGCAAAUCGAUCGUCAAAUUUGGGUAUAGGGGCGAAAGACUAAUCGAACCA
rnacentral:rRNA from 1 species